AUUGAACGCUGGCGGCAGGCCUAACACAUGCAAGUCGAACGAGUGGCGGACGGGUGAAUAAUGUCUGGGAAACUGCCUGAUGGAGGGGGAUAACUACUGGAAACGGUAUCUAAUACCGCAUACCAUCAGAUGUGCCCAUAUGGGAUUAGCUAGUUGGUGGGGUAACGGCUCACCAAGGCGACGAUCCCUAGCUGGUCUGAGAGGAUGACCAGCAAAACUGGAACUGAGACACGGUCCAGACUCGUAGGGGAGGCAGCAGUGGGGAAUAUUGAACAAUGGGCGCAAGCCUGAUGCAGCAAUGCCGGGUGUAUGAAGAAGGCCUUCGGGUUGUAAAGAACUUUCAGCGGGGAGACGUUACCCGCAGAAGAAGCACCGGCUAACUCCGUGCCAGCAGCCGCGGUAAUUC
rnacentral:rRNA from 1 species